AACGUACGCUGGCGGCACGCCUAACACAUGCAAGUCGAACGAAGUAGCAAUACUUAGUGGCAGACGGGUGAGUAACAUGUAGGUAUCUGCCCUUUGGCCUGGAAUAACACGAGGAAACUUGUGCUAAUACCGGAUAAGUCUUUACGGAGAAAGCUUUAUGCACCAUUGGAUGAGCCUGCACUUGAUUAGUUUGUUGGUGGGGUAAUGGCCUACCAAGACUGUGAUCAAUAGCUGAUUUGAGAGGAUGAUCAGCCACAUUGGGACUGAGACACGGCCCAAACUCCUACGGGAGGCAGCAGUGGGGAAUCUUGCACAAUGGAGGAAACUCUGAUGCAGCGAUGCCGCGUGAGUGAAGAAGGCCCUUGGGUUGUAAAGCUCUUUCGUCGGGGAAGAAAAUGACUGUACCCGAAUAAGAAGGUCCGGCUAACUUCGUGCCAGCAGCCGCGGUAAUACGAAGGGACCUAGCGUAGUUCGGAAUUACUGGGCUUAAAGAGUUCGUAGGUGGUUGAAAAAGUUAGUGGUGAAAUCCCAGAGCUUAACUCUGGAACUGCCAUUAAAACUUUUCAGCUAGAGUAUGAUAGAGGAAAGCAGAAUUUCUAGUGUAGAGGUGAAAUUCGUAGAUAUUAGAAAGAAUACCAAUUGCGAAGGCAGCUUUCUGGAUCAUUACUGACACUGAGGAACGAAAGCAUGGGUAGCGAAGAGGAUUAGAUACCCUCGUAGUCCAUGCCGUAAACGAUGUGUGUUAGACGUUGGAAAUUUAUUUUCAGUGUCGCAGGGAAACCGAUAAACACACCGCCUGGGGAGUACGACCGCAAGGUUAAAACUCAAAUGAAUUGACGGGGACCCGCACAAGUAGUGGAGCAUGUGGUUUAAUUCGAAGAUACGCGCAGAACCUUACCAACACUUGACAUGUUCGUCGCGACUCUAAGAGAUUAGAGUUUUCGGUUCGGCCGGACGAAACACAGGUGCUGCAUGGCUGUCGUCAGCUCGUGUCGUGAGAUGUUGGGUUAAGUCCCGCAACGAGCGCAACCCUCACUUUUAGUUGCCAUCAUUAAGUUGGGCACUCUGAAAGAACUGCCAGUGAUAAGCUGGAGGAAGGUGGGGAUGACGUCAAGUCCUCAUGGCCCUUACGUGUUGGGCUACACACGUGCUACAAUGGUAUCUACAACAGGAAGCAAAACUGCGAAGUUAAGCAAAUCCCUAAAAGAUACCUCAGUUCGGAUUGCACUCUGCAAACUCGAGUGCUUGAAAGCUGGAAUUACUAGUAAUCGUGGAUCAGCGUGCCACGGUGAAUGCGUUCCCGGGUCU
rnacentral:rRNA from 1 species